UACGGAGGGUGCAAGCGUUAUCCGGAUUUACUGGGUUUAAAGGGUGUGUAGGCGGGCUUUUAAGUCAGUGGUGAAAUCUCCGGGCUCAACCCGGAAACUGCCAUUGAUACUAUUAGUCUUGAAUUCUGUUGAGGUAGGCGGAAUAAGUCAUGUAGCGGUGAAAUGCUUAGAUAUGACUUAGAACACCAAUUGCGAAGGCAGCUUGCUAAACAGAUAUUGACGCUUAGGCACGAAAGCGUGGGGAUCAAACAGG
rnacentral:rRNA from 1 species